rnacentral:rRNA from 1 species
GACGAACGCUGGCGGCGUGCUUAACACAUGCAAGUCGAACGGAAAGGCCCCUUUGGGGGUACUCGAGUGGCGAACGGGUGAGUAACACGUGAGUAACCUGCCCUUGACUUCGGGAUAACUUCAGGAAACUGGGGCUAAUACCGGAUAGGAAUCCUUGCUGCAUGGUGGGGGUUGGAAAGCUUCGGCGGUUUUGGAUGGACUCGCGGCUUAUCAGCUUGUUGGUGGGGUAGUGGCUUACCAAGGCUUUGACGGGUAGCCGGCCUGAGAGGGCGACCGGCCACAUUGGGACUGAGAUACGGCCCAGACUCCUACGGGAGGCAGCAGUGGGGAAUAUUGCACAAUGGGCGGAAGCCUGAUGCAGCAACGCCGCGUGCGAGAUGACGGCCUUCGGGUUGUAAACCGCUUUCAGCAGGGGCGAAGCUUGUGGUGACGGUACCUGCAGAAGAAGCACCGGCUAACUACGUG